CCCUGAUGCCUUCCAGGGCACCCUGCAGCUGGGCUGUGCAGACCUGAGGUCUGAGGCUAGGAUGGGGUGGGGUGGAAACACAUUGGAACCUGCUCUUCAGUGGCCCCCAGCACAUGUGGACAGAGCCCUUUAAGCACCCCAGAAACACGGGGGAAGAAAGCCGGUCCCCUCCUGCCUCUUCUGCCAAGGCCUUAAGCCUGCCUUUCCCCACCGGCUCUGGCCAGUGGCUGUUCCCACCCGGAGCCUGGGACUCCACUCUGCUGUCACAGCACCGCACACGUUGGGCAGGGGGCAAGCAGGGGAAAGGGCAGAGAGGAGAUGGCAGGAGGAGGAAUAAAAUGCCAGUGCCUGGCAGCAGCCGAGGCUGGGAAAGGAGGCCUGGGGGUAGUGGCAUCCCUGGUCUUCACUCCAGUCUUCCCUCUUGACAGAGCUUCCCCAGAGCUAAGUCUGUGGUCCCUGCUGGGGACAGAUUGUGUCACGUGAGCCUCACAGGGACCAGACCCCUGGAGUACUCACUCCUGGGAGGCCUGGGGAAGGGGGCGGAGCUGGGCUGUGAUCUGGUGCCAGCACCUGUGAUCUCAGGACCUUGGGCAGGCUGCUGCUCUACCUGUGACCUUGUGACUGUGACUGGGAGACAGAGCCGGCACCCACUCACCAGAGUUCAAGGGGGCGGUGGGCGGGAAUGUUGGAGUGUGGUGUGGCCCGGGGUGGUGGAUAUUUCAACAAUGAUUAAAUAUUCCCUGGAGAUCAGCCUGGGCUGCAUAGAGAGACCCCCAUCUCUACAAAAAAAAAAAAAAAAAAAAAAAUUAGCCAGGCUUGGAGGAUCUCUUGAGCCCAGGAGGUCGAGUUUGCACUGAGACAUGAUGGCACCAUUGCCCUCACUCUACAAGGCAACAGAGGAGACCCUGUCUCAAAAAAAAAAAAAAAAAAAAGAUUUAAGAAAUUACCCGAGACUCAGUUUCCUCAGCUGUAACAUUAGAGGGCCAGGAGGUGGGCUGGAUUCUUUCUAAGGCCCCCCUGCCAUUUUUUCCACCUUGAUUUGAGGAGCCAGGUGGUAUUCGUAGCGUUACCUACUAACCUACUAACCAUGGGGUGCAGCUUGGGGCAGGGAUGUGUCUUGGUUCUUUUUUUUUUUUUUUUUGAGACGGAGUCUCGCUCUAUCGCCCAGGCUGGAGUGCAGUGGCGUGAUCUCCACUUACUGCAAGCUCCGCCUCCCGGGUUCACGCCAUUCUCCUGC
rnacentral:lncRNA from 1 species